rnacentral:rRNA from 1 species
UAAAAGUCGUAACAAGGUUUCCGUAGGUGAACCUGCGGAAGGAUCAUUAGUGAAUAUAGGACGUCCAACUUAACUUGGAGUCCGAACUCUCACUUUCUAACCCUGUGCACUUGUUUGGGAUAGUAACUCUCGCAAGAGAGCGAACUCCUAUUCACUUAUAAACACAAAGUCUAUGAAUGUAUUAAAUUUUAUAACAAAAUAAAACUUUCAACAACGGAUCUCUUGGCUCUCGCAUCGAUGAAGAACGCAGCGAAAUGCGAUAAGUAAUGUGAAUUGCAGAAUUCAGUGAAUCAUCGAAUCUUUGAACGCACCUUGCGCUCCAUGGUAUUCCGUGGAGCAUGCCUGUUUGAGUGUCAUGAAUACUUCAACCCUCCUCUUUCUUAAUGAUUGAAGAGGUGUUUGGUUUCUGAGCGCUGCUGGCCUUUACGGUCUAGCUCGUUCGUAAUGCAUUAGCAUCCGCAAUCGAACUUCGGAUUGACUUGGCGUAAUAGACUAUUCGCUGAGGAAUUCUAGUCUUCGGAUUAGAGCCGGGUUGGGUUAAAGGAAGCUUCUAAUCAGAAUGUCUACAUUUUAAGAUUAGAUCUCAAAUCAGGUAGGACUACCCGCUGAACUUAAGCAUAUCAAUA